AACGAACGCUGGCGGCAUGCCUAACACAUGCAAGUCGAACGAGACCUUCGGGUCUAGUGGCGCACGGGUGCGUAACGCGUGGGAACCUGCCCUUAGGUUCGGAAUAACUCCCCGAAAGGGGUGCUAAUACCGGAUAAUGUCUUCGGACCAAAGAUUUAUCGCCUUUGGAUGGGCCCGCGUUGGAUUAGCUAGUUGGUAGGGUAAAAGCCUACCAAGGCGACGAUCCAUAGCUGGUCUGAGAGGAUGAUCAGCCACACUGGGACUGAGACACGGCCCAGACUCCUACGGGAGGCAGCAGUGGGGAAUAUUGGACAAUGGGCGAAAGCCUGAUCCAGCAAUGCCGGGUGAGUGAUGAAGGCCGUAGGGUUGUAAAGCUCUUUUACCCGGGAUGAUAAUGACAGUACCGGGAGAAUAAGCUCCGGCUAACUCCGUG
rnacentral:rRNA from 1 species